rnacentral:rRNA from 1 species
ACUCCUACGGGAGGCAGCAGUGAGGAAUAUUGGACAAUGGGUGGAAGCCUGAUCCAGCCAUCCCGCGUGCAGGAAGACGGCCCUAUGGGUUGUAAACUGCUUUUAUCUGGGGAUAAACCUACUUACGUGUAAGUAGCUGAAGGUACCAGAAGAAUAAGCACCGGCUAACUCCGUGCCAGCAGCCGCGGUAAUACGGAGGGUGCAAGCGUUAUCCGGAUUUAUUGGGUUUAAAGGGUCCGUAGGCGGACUGAUAAGUCAGUGGUGAAAUCCGACAGCUUAACUGUCGAACUGCCAUUGAUACUGUUAGUCUUGAGUAAGGUUGAAGUGGCUGGAAUAAGUAGUGUAGCGGUGAAAUGCAUAGAUAUUACUUAGAACACCAAUUGCGAAGGCAGGUCACUAAGUCUUAACUGACGCUGAUGGACGAAAGCGUGGGGAGCGAACAGGAUUAGAAACCCUAGUAGUCCCAUG